GGAGGAUGCAAGCGUUAUCCGGAAUUAUUGGGCGUAAAGGGUCCGCAGGUGGUUGAACAAGUCUGCUGUCAAAGCGCGGAGCUUAACUCCGUACGGGCGGUGGAAACUGUUUAACUGGAGUACGGUAGGGGUAGCGGGAAUUCCCAGUGUAGCGGUGAAAUGCGUAGAUAUUGGGAAGAACACCAGCGGCGAAAGCGCGCUACUGGGCCUGUACUGACACUGAGGGACGAAAGCUAGGGGAGCGAAAGGGAUUAGAUACCCCUGUAGUCCUAGCUGUAAACGAUGGAUACUAGGUGUUGCCCGUAUCGACCCGGGCAGUGCCGUAGCUAACGCGUUAAGUAUCCCGCCUGGGGAGUACGCACGCAAGUGUGAA
rnacentral:rRNA from 1 species